rnacentral:rRNA from 1 species
GAGUUUGAUCCUGGCUCAGAGUGAACGCUGGCGGCAGGCCUAACACAUGCAAGUCGAGCGGCAGCGCGUCCGACCACCCUCGGGUGGUCGGAUGGCGGCGAGCGGCGGACGGGUGAGGAAUGCAUCGGAAUCUGCCUCGUUGUGGGGGAUAACGUAGGGAAACUUACGCUAAUACCGCAUACGACCUACGGGUGAAAGUGGGGGACCUUCGGGCCUCACGCGAUGAGAUGAGCCGAUGCCGGAUUAGCUAGUUGGCGGGGUAAAGGCCCACCAAGGCGACGAUCCGUAGCUGGUCUGAGAGGAUGAUCAGCCACACUGGAACUGAGACACGGUCCAGACUCCUACGGGAGGCAGCAGUGGGGAAUAUUGGACAAUGGGGGCAACCCUGAUCCAGCCAUGCCGCGUGUGUGAAGAAGGCCUUCGGGUUGUAAAGCACUUUUGUUGGGGAAGAAUUUCGCCGGGUUAAUACCCUGGUUGAAUGACGGUACCCAAAGAAUAAGCACCGGCUAACUUCGUGCCAGCAGCCGCGGUAAUCCC